rfam:Anopheles merus strain MAF unplaced genomic scaffold supercont2.117, whole genome shotgun sequence.
GUGUCAUUUGAAAGAAGAGCAGAUUACCACUCCCCCUUGACAAGGAUGGAACACAUACGCUGAGAUCAGUGGGCACCACCACUUAU